GUGAGGAAUUUUCCGCAAUGGGCGAAAGCCUGACGGAGCAAUGCCGCGUGAAGGAUGAAGGCCUAUGGGUUGUAAACUUCUUUUCUCAGAAAAGAAUUAUGACGGUAUCUGAGGAAUAAGCAUCGGCUAACUCUGUGCCAGCAGCCGCGGUAAGACAGAGGAUGCAAGCGUUAUCCGGAAUGAUUGGGCGUAAAGCGUCUGUAGGUUGUUUAAAAAGUAUUCUGUCAAAGAUUAGGGCUUAACCCUAGAUAGGCAGAAUAAACUUUUAAGCUAGAGUUUGGUAGAGGCAGAGGGAAUGCCCGGUGGAGCGGUGAAAUGCGUAGAUAUCGGGAGGAACACCAAAGGCGAAGGCACUCUGCUGGGCCAAUACUAACACUGAGAGACGAAAGCGAGGGGAGCAAAUGGGAUUAGAUACCCCUGUAGUCC
rnacentral:rRNA from 1 species